rnacentral:rRNA from 1 species
AGGAUGAACGCUGGCGGCGUGCCUAACACAUGCAAGUCGAACGUUAGGGUAUAGCAAUAUACCUGAAAGUGGCGGACGGGUGAGUAACACGUAGGUAACCUGCCGCGCAGAGGGGGAUAACGACUGGAAACGGUCGCUAACACCGCAUGGUACUACAGUGACGGGAGUCAGUGUGGUUAAAACCUUGGUGCUGCGCGAGGGGCCUGCGUCCGAUUAGUUAGUUGGUGAGGUAAUGGCUCACCAAGACGAUGAUCGGUAGCUGGUCUGAGAGGAUGAUCAGUCACACGGGAACUGAGACACGGUCCCGACUCCUACGGGGGGCAGCAGUGAGGAAUAUUGCACAAUGGACGCAAGUCUGAUGCAGCAACGCCGCGUGGAGGAUGAAGGCCUUGGGUCGUAACUCCUUUUUCAGGGAAGAGAGAGGACGGUACCUGAAGAAUAAGUCACGGCUAACUACGUGCCAGCAGCCGC